ensembl:snRNA U6 U6 spliceosomal RNA
GUGCUCACUUCAGCGGCACCUAUACCAAAAUUAGAAUGACAUAGGAAAGGUUAGCAUGGCUAAGGAGUAAGGAUGAUAUGCAAAUUUGUGAAGCGCUCCAUAUUUUU